rnacentral:lncRNA from 1 species
CAUAACUGCUUUCCUCCUGAAAUACCACCUUGUAAAGAUAGAGAAAAUGGUAAGUUAUAAGUAAAAGAUGAAUAUUAAAAUAAUGCCAUUGUCUCAUCCAGAAGGUGGGUCAGGUUUUCUGAAUUAAAGUAAGUUGAUUGCCAGGGAAUGACAUAUUACAUAUCAAGGUUGGUUAUACAUGUAGAUAAAAAUAGGUGGAUGCCACUUGAAAGAUGCUGUGGUAUUAGCUAUCUACACCAAACUUCCACAGACAGUGUGCUGAAGUCCCUGAAAUUUCUUCUUUUGAAUUGUUCAUUUGGGUUAUUGUCUCCAGAGAGCUUUUGUUAAAAAUUAUUGUAAGCUUGCAAAAGAGGGUUGAUGUAUUAUAACAAAUUAUUUAUUUAUGAGAUUGGUGAGUUUUGCUCUGGAAAGAAGGCAUAAGAUGUGAAUGAUAUGAAACUGAAUUCCAAGGAAAUUGUUUAGUGACUGUGAACAAGAAACUCUUCCACUAAAUUGUAACUCUUUGAACAGAAGGUCCUAUUCUUAUUUAUUUUUUAAUAUCCUCCACUUUGCUCAGUAGAGUGCAAUAUAUCCAUUUCAAUAUAGGAUUUAAGAAGAGAUUUCAAUUGAAAGAAGCAUUAACAGGGAUUGAAAUGUUUCCGAGGAACUGCUUAAGAAAAUCUUGGAAGUGGAGAUGCAAACAUGUAGGCAAGAAUGAGACCAUCAACCAUAUAUUUAAUUGUAAUUACUUCAGUCUUUUUUCAGGAGGACACCCUGACAUCAAUCUUCAAGCCCUCAAAUAAUCAGCCUUCAGUUGGGAAAGAAUCCAAUUCAGGGUGAAAAUAGAUGAGUUUUUUGCUCUGCUUAGAACCAUAUUGCAAUAGCAGAAAUGUGCUUAAUAUAUUUACAAAUUCUCAGGGACAUCCACCUUUGCCAGUAAGUGCGUCAUUAGGCCAGUGUCAAAAGGAUUGACGGGCUAGACAGAGGUAAGAACAAUAACUUUUCAGUAUCUGAUAAAGCAGCAUUAAUGGGGUAGCAGCAAGAGCAUGAGCUCUGAAAUCCCAAGAUCUGGGUUUAAUACCUUGGCUUCAUGGGACUUUGGAGGUGUGGUUUAACCUUUGUGGGGGUCAGUUACCUUUUCAAAAAUGGAAACAACGACAUGCAUACUUUCACUCGCGUCUGUGUGAAGAGACCACCAAACAGGUUUUGUGUGAGCAAUAAAGCUUUAUUUCACCUGGGUGCAGGCGGGCUGAGUCCGAAAAGAGUCAGUGAAGGGCGAUAGGGGUGGGGCUGUUUUAUAAGAUUUGGGUAGGUAAAGGAAAAUUACAGUUAAAGGGGGGUUGUUCUCUGGUGGGCAGGAGUGGGGGGUCACAAGGUGCUCAGUAGGGGAGCUUCUGAGCCAGGAUGAGCCAGGAGAAGGAAUUUCACGAGAUAAUGUCAUCAGUUAAGGCAGGAACAGGCCAUUUUCAUUUC